rnacentral:rRNA from 1 species
AGGGUUCGAUUAUGGCUCAGGAUGAACGCUGGCGGCGUGCCUAACACAUGCAAGUCGAGCGAUUCUCUUCGGAGAAGAGCGGCGGACGGGUGAGUAACGCGUGGGUAACCUGCCCUGUACACACGGAUAACAUACCGAAAGGUAUGCUAAUACGAGAUAAUAUGCUUUUAUCGCAUGGUAGAAGUAUCAAAGCUUUUGCGGUACAGGAUGGACCCGCGUCUGAUUAGCUAGUUGGUAAGGUAACGGCUUACCAAGGCGACGAUCAGUAGCCGACCUGAGAGGGUGAUCGGCCACAUUGGAACUGAGACACGGUCCAA